GUGAGUCAUCGAAUCUUUGAACGCACCUUGCACCCUUUGGUAUUCCGAAGGGUACACCCGUUUGAGUGUCAUUGUAAUUUCACCUCCUCACCUUUAAUGGUGGACUAGUGUGGAUUUGGAUGUUGCUGUGUAACAAAUGGCUCAUCUGAAAUGCAUGAGUGUAUCCUGUUUCAGUGGUGUAUUCGGUGUAAUAAGUCUUCACCGGAGAUGAUCUUUGGGUCACACCUCCUUAAUGGGCUCUAUGCUUCCAACCGUCUUCACAAGACAAUNCUCUGACAAUUUGACCUCAAAUCGGGUGGG
rnacentral:misc_RNA from 1 species